rnacentral:rRNA from 1 species
UACGAAGGGGGCUAGCGUUGCUCGGAAUUACUGGGCGUAAAGAGCGCGCAGGCGGUCGUACAAGUCGCGUGUGAAAGCCCCCGGCUCAACUGGGGAGGGUCACGCGAUACUGUUCGACUCGAAGGCAGGAGAGGGUAGUGGAAUUCCCGGUGUAGUGGUGAAAUGCGUAGAUAUCGGGAGGAACACCAGUGGCGAAGGCGACUACCUGGCCUGUUCUUGACGCUGAGGCGCGAAAGCUAGGGUAGCAAACGGG